rnacentral:tRNA from 1 species
UUUAAGACUUGCGUCACUUCAACACAUCUCCUGAAUGCAACUCAGACACUUU